rnacentral:tRNA from 1 species
GGGGCUGUGGCCUAGUCCGGCAUGGCGACGGGCUCCAGCGGAUAAAUGAUGAACAACGGGUCUACUGAGGCCUUUCCGACGGGAAAGAUCAAUGAGGAACCGUUGGAGCACUGAUAUGCUCAUGAAUUAAAGCUGUCACAGAUAGCAAUUCGGAGAGACCCGUCGAUCGUGAGUUCAAAUCUCACCAGCCCCA